rnacentral:rRNA from 1 species
GACGAACGCUGGCGGCGUGCUUAACACAUGCAAGUCGAACGGAAAGACCCUGCUUUUGUGGGGUGCUCGAGUGGCGAACGGGUGAGUAACACGUGUGUAACAUGCCCUUGACUUUGGGAUAACUUCAGGAAACUGGGGCUAAUACAGGAUAGGAGCUCCUGCUGCAUGGUGGGGGUUGGAAAGUUUCGGCGGUUUGGGCUGGACUCGCGGGUUAUCAGCUUGUUGGUGGGGUAGGUGCUGACCAAGCCUUUGAAUGGUAGGCGGCCUGAGAGGGUGACCGGCCUCAUGGGUACUGAGGGACGGACCAGUCUGGUACGUUAGGCAGCGGUCGGGAGUAUGGCGCAGUGGGCGCGAGCCUGAUACAGCGACGCCGGGUGCGGAAUGACGUGUUUCGGGGUAUGAACCGCUGUCGCCUGUGACGAAGCGUUAGUGACGGUAAUUAGUAAAGAAGCACCGGCUAACUACGUG